AGACAAGAGCGCCACAGCUCAAAUUAGUACAAGAAGACAGAAGAGAAGAAAAGAAAUGCAGAAGAAAAAAAAGGAGCUCUCUGUAAAGAAAAAUCCAAUUUCAUUGAUUAGAUAGUUUUUAAGUACACGAGAACGAAAAAAAGUCACCACAAAGGAAAAAUACAAAAUUAGAGGUUUCGAACCUCUGGGACAGAAGUGGAGGGGCUCGACACUGUCG
rnacentral:lncRNA from 1 species